GUUCUUUUAAAGGUUGACAUCAAUUCGUUCCAUAUUUACACUCUCGGGGUAUAAUAGAACAAUAUAAUUAGCUUUUACUCUUUGUUCGAUUGAAUGAUAAAAAGUACUCGUUACAAAGUUAUACAGUUAGGGCGUAACUGAGUAGUCUACAUUUGUUCCGGUUUAGGUUCUUUUGAAAGUUGACAUCCAUUCGUUCCAAAUUUACACUCCCAGGUCACAAUAUAACUAUAUAAUUAGCUUUUACUCUUUGUUCGAUUGAAUGAGAAAAAGUACUCGUUGCAAAGUUAUAAUUUUAGGGCGCAACUGAGUUGUCUAUUUUUGUUCCGGUUUUGGUUCUUGUGUAGGUCGACAUCGAUUCGUUCCAAAUUUACACUCUCGGGGCACAAUAGAACAAUAUAAUUAGCUUUUACUCUUUGUUCGAUUAAAUGAGAAAAAGUACUCGUUUCAAAGUUAUACUGUUAGGGCGCAACUGAGUAGUCUUUUUUGUUCCGGUUAUUGUUCUUUUAAAGGUUGACAUCAAUUCGUUGCAUAUUUACACUCUCGGGGUAUAAUAGAACAAUAUAAUUAGCUUUUGCUCUUUGUUCGAUUGAAUGUUAAAAAGUACUCGUCGCAAAGUUAUACUGUUAGGGCGCAACUGAGUAGUCUACUUUUGUUCCGGUUUAGGUUCUUUUGAAGGUUGACAUCCAUUCGUUCCAUAUUUACACUCUCGCGGUAUAAUAGAACAAUAUAAUUAGCUUUACUCUUUAUUCGAUUGAAUGAGAAAAAGUACUCGUCGCAAAGUUAUAUUGUUAGGGCGGAACUGAUUAGUCUUUUUUUGUUCCGGUUUUGGUUCUUGUGAAGGUUGACAUCGAUUCGUUCCAAAUUUACACUCUCCGGACACAAUAGAACAAUAUAAUUUGCUUUUACUCUCUGUUCGAUUAAAUGAGAAAUAGUACUCGUUGCAAAGUUAUGCUGUUAGGGCGCAUCUGAGUAGUCUACUUUUGUUCCAGUUUUGGUGUUUUUGAAGGUUGACAUCCAUUCGUACCAUAUUUACACUCUCGCGGUAUAAUAGAACAAUAUAAUUAGAUUUUACUCUUUGUUCGAUUGAAUAAGAAAAAGUACUCGUUCCAAAGUUAUACUGUUUGGGCGCAACUGAGUAGUCUAUUUUUGUUCCGGUUUUGGUUCUUAUGAAUGUUGACAUCGAUUCCAAAUUUACACUCUCGGGGCACAAUAGAACAAUAUAAUUAGCUUUAACUCUUUAUUGGAUUAAAUGAGAAAAAGUACUCGUUGCAAUGUUAUACUGUUAGGGCGCAACUGGGUAGUUUUUUUUGUUCCGGUUUUUGUUCUUUUAAAGGUUGACAUCAAUUCGUUCCAUAUUUACACUCUCGGGGUAUAAUAGAACAAUAUAAUUCGCUUUUACUCUUUGUUCGAUUGAAUGAUAAAAAGUACUCGUUACAAAGAUAUACAGUUAGGGCGUAACUGAGUAGUCUACUUUUGUUCCGGUUUAGGUUCUUUUGAAGGUUGACAUCCAUUCGUUCCAUAUUUACACUCUCGCGGUAUAAUAGAACAAUAUAAUUAUAUUUUACUCUUUGUUCGAUUGAAUGAGAAAAAGUACUCUUUGCAAAGUUAUACUGUUAGGGCACAAUUGAGUAGUCUAUUUUUGUUCCGGUUUUGGUUCUUGUGAAGGUUGACAUCGAUUCGUUCCAAAUUUACACUCUCGGGGCAUAAUAGAACAAUAUAAUUAGCUUUCGCUCUUUGUUCGAUUGAAUGAGAAAAAGUACUCGUCGCAAAGCUAUAUUGUUAGGGCGGAACUGAGUAGUCAUUUUUUGUUCCGGUUUUGGUUCUUGUGAAGGUUGACAUCGAUUUGUUCCAUAUUUACACUCUCGCGGUAUAAUAGAAUAAUAUAAUUAGCUUUUACUCUUUGUUCGAUUGAAUGUGAAAAUGUAUUCGUUGCAAAGUUAUACUGUUAGGGCGCAACUGAGUAGUCUAUUUUUGUUCCGGUUUUGGUUCUUGUGAAGGUUGACAUCGAUUCGUUCCAAAUUUACACUCUCAGGACAAAAUAGAACAAUAUAAUUAGAUUUUACUCUUUGUUCGAUUAAAUGAGAAAUAGUACUCGUUGCAAAGUUAUGCUGUUAGAGCGCAUCUGAGUAGUCUAUUUUUGUUACUGUUUUGGUUCUUUUAUAGGUUGACGUCAAUUCGUUCCAUAUUUACACUCUCGGGGUAUAAUAGAACAAUAUAAUUAGCUUUUACCCUUUGUUCGAUUGAAUGAAAAAAAGUACUCGUUGCAAAGUUAUACUGUUAGGGCGCAACUGAGUAGUCUAUUUUUGUUCCGGUUUUCGUUCUUGUGAAUGUUGAUAUCGAUUCGUUCCAAAUUUACACUCUCGGGGCACAAUAGAACAAUAUAAUUAGCUUUAACUCUUUAUUCGAUUAAAUGAGAAAAAGUACUCGUUGCAAAGUUAUACUGUUAGGGCGCAACUGAGUAGUCUUUUUUUGUUCCGGUUUUGGUUCUUUUAAAGUUUGACAUCAAUUCGUUCCAUAUUUACACUCUCGGUGUAUAAUAGAACAAUAUAAUUAGCUUUUACUCUUUGUUCGAUUGAAUGAGAAAAAGUACUCGUCGCAAAGUUAUAUUGUUAGGGCGAAACUGAGUAGUGUUUUUUUGUUCCGGUUUUGAUUCUUGUGAAGGUUGACAUCGAUUCGUUCUAAAUUUACACUCUCUGGACACAAUAGAACAAUAUAAUUAGCUUUUACUCUUUGUUCGAUUAAAUGAGAAAUAGUACUCGUUGCAAAGUUAUACUGUUAGGGCACAACUGAUUAGUCUAUUUUUGUUCCGGUUUUGGUUCUUAUGAAUGUUGACAUCGAUUCGUUCCAAAUUUACACUCUCAGUACGCAACGAUAUACUGUUAGGGCGCAACUGAGUAGUGUAUUUUUGUUCCAGUUUUGGUUCUUGUGAAGGUUGACAUCGAUUCGUUCCAAAUUGACAUUCUCUGGGCAUAAUUAGAACAAUAUAAUUUGCUUUUACUCUUUGUUCGAUUGAAUGAGAAAAAGUACUGGUCGCAAAGUUAUAUUGUUAGGGCGGAACUGAGUAGUCUUUUUUUGUUCCGGUUUUGGUUCUUGUGAAGGUUGACCUCGAUUCGUUCCAAAUUUACACUCUCCGGACACAAUAGAACAAUAUAAUUAGCUUUUACUCUCUGUUCGAUUAAAUGAGAAAUAGUACUCGUUGCAAUAUUAUACUGUUAGGGCGCAUCUGAGUAGUCUCCUUUUGUUCCGGUUUUGGUGUUUUUGAAGGUUGAUAUCCAUUCGUACCAUAUUUACACUCUCGCGGUAUAAUAGAACAAUAUAAUUAGAUUUUACUCUUUGUUCGAUUGAAUAAGAAAAAGUACUCGUUGCAAAGUUAUACUGUUAGGGCGCAACUGAGUAGUCUAUUUUUGUUCCAGUUUUGGUUCUUGUGAAUGUUGACAUCGAUUCGUUCCAAAUUUACACUCUCGGGACACAAUAGAACAAUAUAAUUAGCUUUAACUCUUUAUUGUAUUAAAUGAGAAAAAGUACUCGUUGCAAAGUUAUACUGUUGGGGUGCAACUGAGUAGUCUUUUUUUGUUCCGGUUUUGGUUCUUUUAAAGGUUGACAUCAAUUCGUUCCAUAUUUACACUCUCGGGGUAUAAUAGAACAAUAUAAUUAGCUUUUACUCUUUGUUCGAUUGAAUGAUAAAAAGUACUCGUUACAAAGUUAUACAGUUAGGGCGUAACUGAGUAGUCUACAUUUGUUCCGGUUUAGGUUCUUUUGAAAGUUGACAUCCAUUCGUUCUAUAUUUACACUCUCGCGGUAUAAUAGAAUAUUAUAAUUAGAUUUUACUCUUUGUUCGAUUGAAUAAGAAAAAGUACUCGUUGCAAAGUUAUACUGUUAGGGCACAAUUGAGUAGUCUAUCUUUGUUCCGGUUUUGGUUCUUGUGUAGGUUGACAUCGAUUCGUUCCAAAUUUACACUCUCAGGACACAAUAGAACAAUAUAAUUAGCUUUUCUCUUUAUUGGAUUAAAUGAGAAAAAGUACUCGUUGCAAAGUUAUACUGUUAGGGCGCAACUGAGUAGUCUUUUUUUGUUCCGGUUUUUGUUCUUUUAAAGGUUGACAUCAAUUCGUUCCAUAUUUACACUCUCGGGGUAUAAUAGAACAAUAUAAUUCGCUUUUACUUUUUGUUCGAUUUAAUAAUAAAAAGUACUCGUUACAAAGUUAUACAGUUAGCGCGUAACUGAGUAGUCUACUUUUGUUCCGGUUUAGGUUCUUUCGAAGGUUGACAUCCAUUCGUUCCAUAUUUACACUCUCGAGGUAUAAUAGAACAAUAUAAAUAGGUUUUUCUCUUUUGUUCGAUAGAUUGAGAAAAAGUACUCGUCGCAAAGUUAUACUGUUAGGACGUAACUGAGUAUUCUAAUGUUGUUCCGAUUUUUGUUCUUGUGAUUGACAUCAAUUCGUUCCAUAUUUACACUCUCGGGGUAUAAUAGAACAAUAUAAUUAGCUUUUACUCUUCGUUCGAUUGAAUGAUAAAAAGUACUCGUUGCAAAGUUAUACUGUUAGGGCGCAACUGAGUAGUCUACUUUUGUUCGGUUUAGGUUCUUUUGAAGGUUGACAUCCAUUCGUACCAUAUUUACACUCUCGCGGUAUAAUAGAACAAUAUAAUUAGAUUUUACUCUUUGUUCGAUUGAAUAAAAAAAAGUACUCGUUCCAAAGUUAUAUUGUUUGGGCGCAACUGAGUAGUCUAUUUUUGUUCCGGUUUUGAUUCUUGUGAAGGUUGACAUCGAUUCGUUCCAAAUUUACACUCUCGGGGCACAAUAGAACAUUAUAAUUAGCUUUAACUCUUUAUUGGAUUAAAUGAGAAAAAGUACUCGUUGCAAAGUUAUACUGUUAGGGCUCAACUGAGUAGUCUAUUUUUGUUCCGAUUAUUGUUCUUUUAAUGGUUGACAUCAAUUCGUUCCAUAUUUACACUCUCGGGUUAUAAUAGAACAAUAUAAUUCGCUUUUACUCUUUGUUCGAUUGAAUGAUAAAAAGUACUCGUUACAAAGAUAUACAGUUAGGGUGUAACUGAGUAGUCUACUUUUGUUCCGGUUUAGGUUCUUUUGAAGGUUGACAUCCAUUCGUUCUAUAUUUACACUCUCGGGGUAUAAUAGAACAUUAUAAUUAGAUUUUACUCUUUGUUCGAUUGAAAGAUAAAAAGUACUCGUCGUAAAGUUACAUUGUUAGGGCGGAACUGAGUAGUCAUUUUUUGUUCCUUUUUUGGUUCUUGUGAAGGUUGACCUCGAUUCGUUCCAAAUUUACACUCUCGGGGCACAAUAGAACAAUAUAAUUAGCUUUUACUCUUUGUUCGAUUAAAUGAGAAAAAGUACUCGUUGCAAAGUUUUACUGUUAGGGCGCAACUGAGUAGUCUUUUUUUGUUCCGGUUUUGGUUCUUUUGAAGGUUGACAUCCAUUCGUUCCAUAUUUACACUCUCGCGAUAUAAUAGAACAAUAUAAUUAGCUAUUACUCUUUGUUCGAUUGAAUGAGAAAAAGUACUCGUUGCAAGUUAUCCUGUUAGGGCGCAACUGAGUAGUCUAUUUUUGUUCCAGUUUUGGUUCUUGUGAAGUUUGACAUCGAUUCGUUCCAAAUUUACACUCUCGGGGCAUAAUAGAACAAUAUAAUUUGCUUUUACUCUUUGUUCGAUUGAAUGAGAAAAAGUACUGGUCGCAAAGUUAUAUUGUUAGGGCGGAACUGAGUAGUCUUUUUUUGUUCCGGUUUUGGUUCUUGUGAAGGUUGACCUCGAUUCGUUCCAAAUUUACACUCUCCGGACACAAUAGAACAAUAUAAUUAGCUUUUACUCUCUGUUCGAUUAAAUGAGAAAUAGUACUCGUUGCAAUAUUAUACUGUUAGGGCGCAUCUGAGUAGUCUCCUUUUGUUCCGGUUUUGGUGUUUUUGAAGGUUGAUAUCCAUUCGUACCAUAUUUACACUCUCGCGGUAUAAUAGAACAAUAUAAUUAGAUUUUACUCUUUGUUCGAUUGAAUAAGAAAAAGUACUCGUUGCAAAGUUAUACUGUUAGGGCGCAACUGAGUAGUCUAUUUUUGUUCCAGUUUUGGUUCUUGUGAAUGUUGACAUCGAUUCGUUCCAAAUUUACACUCUCGGGACACAAUAGAACAAUAUAAUUAGCUUUAACUCUUUAUUGUAUUAAAUGAGAAAAAGUACUCGUUGCAAAGUUAUACUGUUGGGGUGCAACUGAGUAGUCUUUUUUUGUUCCGGUUUUGGUUCUUUUAAAGGUUGACAUCAAUUCGUUCCAUAUUUACACUCUCGGGGUAUAAUAGAACAAUAUAAUUAGCUUUUACUCUUUGUUCGAUUGAAUGAUAAAAAGUACUCGUUACAAAGUUAUACAGUUAGGGCGUAACUGAGUAGUCUACAUUUGUUCCGGUUUAGGUUCUUUUGAAAGUUGACAUCCAUUCGUACCAUAUUUACACUCUCGCGGUAUAUUAGAACAAUAUAAUUCGAUUUUACUCUUUGUUCGAUUGAAUAAAAAAAAGUACUCGUUCCAAAGUUAUACUGUUUGGGCGCAACUGAGUAGUCUAUUUUUUUUCCGGUUUUGGUUCUUGUGAAUGUUGACAUCGAUUAGUUCCAAAUUUACACUCUCGGGGCACAAUAGAACAAUAUAAUUAGAUUUAACUCUUUAUUGGAUUAAAUGAGAAAAAGUACUCGUUGCAAAGUUAUACUGUUAGGGCGCAACUGAGUAGUCUUUUUUUGUUCCGGUUUUUGUUCUUUUAAAGGUUGACAUCAAUUCGUUCCAUAUUUACACUCUCGGGGUAUAAUAGAACAAUAUAAUUCGCUUUUACUUUUUGUUCGAUUUAAUAAUAAAAAGUACUCGUUACAAAGUUAUACAGUUAGCGCGUAACUGAGUAGUCUACUUUUGUUCCGGUUUAGGUUCUUUCGAAGGUUGACAUCCAUUCGUUCCAUAUUUACACUCUCGCGGUAUAAUAGAAUAAUAUAAUUAGAUUUUACUCUUUGUUCGAUUGAAUGAGAAAAAGUACUCGUUGCAAAGUUAUAUUGUUAGGGCGGAACUGAGUAGUCUUUUUUUGUUCCGUUUUUUGUUCUUGUGAAGGUUGAUAUCGAUUCGUUCCAAAUUUACACUCUCAGGACACAAUAGAAAAAUAUAAUUAGCUUUUACACUUUGUUCGAUUGAAUGAGAAAAAGUACUCGUUGCAAAGUUAUACUGUUAGGACGCAACUGAGUAGUCUUUUUUGUUCCGGUUAUUGUUCUUUUAAAGGUUGACAUCAAUUCGUUGCAUAUUUACACUCUCGGGGUAUAAUAGAAUAAUAUAAUU
rnacentral:lncRNA from 1 species